CGGGUGAGUAACACGCGGGUGACCUGCCCUUAGCUCUGGGAUAAGCCUGGGAAACUGGGUCUAAUACCGGGAUAUGACCUCAUGACGCAUGUUGUGGGGUGGAAAAGCCUUGUGCGGCUAGGGAUGGGCCCGCGGCCUAUCAGCUUGUUGGUGGGGUGAUGGCCUACCAAGGCGACGACGGGUAGCCGGCCUGAGAGGGCGACCGGCCACACUGGGACUGAGACACGGCCCAG
rnacentral:rRNA from 1 species